ensembl:lncRNA
AAGUUGCCUCCACCAGGCUUGGGCCCCAGCUUUCUCCUGUUAAUUGAGAUAAUGACCCAACUCCAAGAGCUGCUUCAGCUUGAAAGGGGCUUUGAGAUGCUGGGAUGAAAGGCGCUGGGUUGAGUACAAAGCACAGGGCAAGCUGUCCUGGGAGUGGGAGGCCUGGCCCGGGGCCUUCCCCGGCCCCCAUGCUGAGUCACUUCCUCCCUCCUGGCUGGAUUUUGCCUCUGUAACCCAGAGACACUGAACCCUCCUUUCAGGACGGCGUCUUGGGGGAUGUUCCCAGAGAGCGUGUGCAGGAUGCAGGCCUGGCAUCAACCUCGACUCACCACCAAAGGGCCCCAAGCCGGGAGGGGAGGGAGGUGUGUUGGCCUUGAUGCUGUGGGGCAGAUGCUACCACGCAUUUAUAGCUUCAUGACUCUCCUCUUAACUUGUCUGGGAGAGCGACGACUCAGGGAUGAGCAUCCCUCUGUUACACUUGAAGAAACUGAGGACCAAAGAGGUGGGAGGUUUCCCAAGGUCUCACAGCCCACCCGAGGAGAGAGCAGAUCCGAAGCCUCUGGCUCCCCACAUCCUUCCCCCAGAGGGCAGCCAGCCCCCCAUUACUCAUUCCUUUAAACAUGAGGCUCUCAUAGGAGCUUCACAGGACUGCACUGCACUUUGUAUUACCAGGGCUCUGAGGGAAGCACCAAUACUAGCUUUGCCUUCAAGGAAUUGCUCGACUAGUGUCUCUUUACUGGUCAUAAAGUAAAGGGUGAAGGAAAAAAAAAACAGUUGAACAAGGGAGUGAAGUCUUCUGGAAGGUCAGCGUGGAGAGGUGACAGCUGCCAAGGAAAGAUUCCCACGAUGGCCUCUGCCAAUGGAUUAGAACCGAGAAGUCAUCCAAGCAAGGCUGCUCCUGCUGGUCUUCAGGUGCCCUCCUUGAGACCGAGCUCCCCAGACCGGGCUGCUGGGGUUCCCUGCACCUGGUGGACCUCAAUUUCUCCCUCCUGAGGGACAGGGGUUCCCAUUCGGUGUGCCUACCAGUAGGUAGCAGUUCACAAGGCCCACUCUGAGCCAGUCCUGUGCUCAGAGAAACAAGGCAGGGUUCCCACCCUCACAGUAAAGCCGCCCAGUCUGACGGGGACGUGAUCCCAGACAGAAGGAAGGACGUCCAGGCCACGUGCUGUGGGGGCCACAGAAGGAAGGACCCACCAACUGAAGGCCCAGGAGGUUACAUGCUUGUGCUUUGGAACCGAGACCUCCCCCUUUCCGCUGUUUAAGCAUCUGCCCCCAAUUCAAGGCCGCUCCGUAAACUAACUAGACCUAGAUGGACCCAAAUCAAGCUCUAAGCAGGUUCUUCCCCUGGGAGCUUUCUCAUCCCUGGAAACCCAAAAAGGGUAAUAGCACGAGUCACCCUUGGGAGCAAGUUCUCAGACAUGAAGUCUCUGAGCAGCCCUGGCCCAGAGGGUGCACUCAGGAUGGGGCACUGUUACUUCACUUCUGGGACUUUCAAAUCCACGCUUGUUAGAAAGCAGUGGGAAGCGUUUGUGUGAACCGUGAAGAACCCUUCUAAAGCAAAGGCGGUUAAAGCCGCAGGUGUGGCUGGGGAAGGCCUUUACGAGAGGCUUACUGCGCUCAGCUGUGGCGGCGGCUUGGGUGGAGCCUGGCCUGAGGCGGGGGCUCCCUGUCCAGACCUCUCAGGUUUCCGCUCAGCGUGGGCAGCUCUGGAGGCUGCGGGGAGGGUACAGAACGGAGGAGGAGCGUGAGGAGCCUGUCCCUAUUUUCCUGGGCACGGGGCUCACUCCUGGCACUAGUCCUUCCUGGGGCCCCAGCUCCAGCUUGUUAGUUUUAACUGGAACAAUUUCCUUUGAACUCAGCUUGAAUUAGCAUCACCAUGGCGAUGGAUCAGAGUUUUCACAAGUCGACCUGGUCUUCACCCCUCAAGCAAUUAGUUCGGAGGAGAAAAGUAGGAGGAGGAGGAGGAAGAAGAGGUGGGGAAGAUAAAAGGGUGGCAUGGGGGAUGGGAGGGAGCAGGGAGGAAUGGAACUGGAGAGAAGGAGGAGGGGACAGUAGGGGUGGAGGGGAUGGCUGCCAGAUGAGGAGGGGGAGACGGGAAGAACUGGAGGGAGGAGGGAGAAGAAGAGAAGGAGGGUCAUUCUGACCUGCUGGCUUAGCCUAGGCACGCAGGGGGCACAGUACCCCCCUCCAUGGCCCCACCUAUGGGGAAGGGAGAGAAGCAUGAGGACCGAGCAGCAGCCUUCCACAGGUAGCCUGGGAGGAAAGGUCCACUGUUCACACUUUCUCAGGGGAGACCCAGCAGCCCAACGCCACAAGGUCACUCCCAGGCAGCAAGCUCACCUUCAGCCCCUCCCUCCUGCAGGGACCAGGCUGCUUCACCCUCAGACCAACCAACAGGAAGCAAUCCUAGAUGGAGACAGGUGAUGAUACGAAAGGCUUGUCCUUGAGGAAACACAUUUAUAUGGAGCAGCCACGGCGUCGCCUUUGUCUAGAGCACCCUGGAGGAGUGUGGGCACAAUAGGCCGGAGGCGAAAGUGCCUUAAUCAGUUAUCCUCUCCCAGGAGCCCCCUUCCACCCUUUGGAGGGUGACCAGGCCAAUGCCCAGGGUCUCACUGUUGCUGGAGAACAGCUCAUGCGACUUUAGGGCCAAAGAGGUAGGCAGGGACUGAGAGAGACUCCUGAGAGCUACCCACCCCUUUCCCGAGCCCAGCCGGCAAGAUGAAUGCCUUGCCGAGGUUUCACUUUCAACUUUCUCCCCUUGGAGGGAGGUUUUAUCUCGGCCAUCACCACCCAGGAAGGCCUGGAAGCACAGCGGGGUGCUCCAGGGCAUCUGCAGCAUUUCAGCCUGCUGCACGCUUGUGCUGAGCUCCGGCUAAGGCCCCACCGUCCCAGCUGGAGACAUCUGAAGACUCCCAGCCCUGGGGUUGAAAGCUCCAGGACUGCGCGGAGGGGCUGCACAGUCCGCAGAGCCCUGGUGCCCGGCCGGGAGGAGGGAUCUUUGGGUUCUGGUCUUGACUUCCUGGGACCCCUGUGGAGCAGGGGAUCCUGUUGGAGCCAGAUCGAGUCAGAUGGCUCAGGCUCCUCGGGGAAGGGGCAGAGCAGCAGGAGGGACCCCACCCAGACAGACAGAGCAGUGGGGUUGGCACAAGCUCUGGACUCUGACAUGUGGCAUUUCAGCCCCGACUCUGCCACUGACCAGCUCUGCUACCUUGGGCUAGUCAGUUCUGCGCCACAGUUUCUCAUCUCUAAGACGGAGACAGUUAUCAGCACUCUGCCCUCUUCAGAGCGAUGCCGCGGGGAUCGAUGAGACGAGAGAAUAAAGGAGUUUGAGCUGCACACAUGAGGCAGAUGAGGCCAUUCCCUCUUCCCUGCAGCCCAGGAUGUGACAGCAGGAGGGACUAGAAAGGCCCUGCACUCAGGAGUAAUUCGGAGGCUCCUGUUUCUCCACAAGGGUCCGGGGUCUGAGUCCCAGCUCCCCUGCUCACGAGCUAGGGAACCUUGACCCAGACAUCUCAGCUCUCUGGGUCUUUGUUGCCUCUUAAUCUUUAAACUGGGAGAGGAAGAGCUGGGACUAAAUGAUUGCCAACCUCUGCAUUUGGUCCCUGGUCCCUCCAACGCAGAUUCCAAGGUCUGAAUUCCCCCUGCUAUCCUCUCUUACUCUCAGCCAAAGGGCGACUGGGGUAGAGGGCACGGGGCUCCUGGUGAACGCGCCCGCUGGCAGGCAGCUGAGAACGGCUGCAGAUGGGGACAGAGGACAGGACUCACCAAGUGCCAGGGAUGGCAAAGGACCCAAAAUGAGCCUACAACCACUCCUUAUAUCACAUGGGCAAGAGAUGGGGCCUUGGAGAUGCCAAAGGGGGAGGCUCCUUUGUUCUGCGGCUCCUUGUGCUAUCUGUCUGUCCUUUCAUUCCAUCUUCCAUUUUCAUUCACUCGCCUGUGCCUGCUGUAAACAUUGAUAAAGCCGUUACAGCACGUCAGGCACCGUCCUGGGUGUUGGGAAUACAGAAUUGAGUAAGUUCACAGCCUCAUGGGGGCCAACGAGAGAUAUAAACAGACGGUUCCUACCCAGAUUGAGCAGUGCUGGGAGAGCAGCCUGCGCUGGGGGCCGCCGGGCACGGAGGAGGGCCUGCGCCCAGCCGCGUGGGACAGCUCCUUCCUCAGACCUCUCACUCAGCUUGCGGAGACGAUGGGAAAAUACAGACGUUGCUUGGUGCCCAACAGCUUAGAGGGUGGUAAAGAAAAAAAAUGCCCGAGAGAAAGGUUACGGGGUAGGAUAAUUAAUGUUUUGCUAAGGAGGAAAAUAUUACUGUGUGUUGCUCAGCAUGCAAACACCUCAACUAACAAAAUGGCUGGGAGAAAACAAGUGGAACUGCAGGAUUUUUCUCACAAAGAUUAAAAGAAAAGAAAAAGACAGCAGUCACAGACAUACCUCCUCCCGUGGCUGAAAGAAUGUUCCCCGCCAGGUGAGGAAAGCAAGGCCCAGCGCUGGGAAGGGCCCAGCUGCCGCUCCUUCCUGGACGAAGGCCGGCCCAGCACACAAACCCCGCACCCCAGCCCCUGGCCCACUGCCAUUUCAUGUUAAGGCUCUCCUCUCAGUGUCUGAGGCCCGGGGAGCUGCUGUACACACUGCUUGACCAUUGUAAGGAAGAAGAGAUUUCUAAUUCCAGAGGGUGCAUCCAGC